UACGUAGGGUGCGAGCGUUGUCCGGAAUUAUUGGGCGUAAAGGGCUCGUAGGCGGUUUGUCGCGUCGGGAGUGAAAUCCACUGGCUUAACUGGUGGCUUGCUUUCGAUACGGGCAGACUGGAGGUAUGCAGGGGAGAACGGAAUUCCUGGUGUAGCGGUGAAAUGCGCAGAUAUCAGGAGGAACACCGGUGGCGAAGGCGGCUUCCUGGCCUGUAACUGACGCUGAGACGCGAAAGCGUGGGGAGCGAACCGG
rnacentral:rRNA from 1 species